rnacentral:rRNA from 1 species
CCUACGGGCGGCAGCAGUGAGGAAUAUUGGUCAAUGGACGAGAGUCUGAACCAGCCAAGUAGCGUGAAGGAUGACUGCCCUAUGGGUUGUAAACUUCUUUUAUAAAGGAAUAAAACGAGGCACGUGUGCCUUUUUGCAUGUACUUUAUGAAUAAGGAUCGGCUAACUCCGUGCCAGCAGCCGCGGUAAUACGGAGGAUCCGAGCGUUAUCCGGAUUUAUUGGGUUUAAAGGGAGCGUAGAUGGGUUGUUAAGUCAGUUGUGAAAGUUUGCAGCUCAACCGUAAAAUUGCAAUUGAUACUGGGAGUUUUGAGUACAGUGGAGGUAGGCGGAAUUCGUGGUGUAGCGGUGAACUGCUUAGAUAUCACGAAGAACCCAGAUUGAGAGGGCAGAUUACAAAACUGUGACUGACAUUGAUGCUCGAAAGUGUGGGUAUAAAACAGGAUUAGAUACCCUUGUAGUC